GGACUGAGGUACGGAGCAGCUUGCUGCUUCGCUGACGAGUGGCGGACGGGUGAGUAAUGUCUGGGAAACUGCCUGAUGGAGGGGGAUAACUACUGGAAACGGUAGCUAAUACCGCAUAACGUCGCAAGACCAAAGAGGGGGACCUUCGGGCCUCUUGCCAUCGGAUGUGCCCAGAUGGGAUUAGCUUGUUGGUGGGGUAACGGCUCACCWAGGCGACGAUCCCUAGCUGGUCUGAGAGGAUGACCAGCCACACUGGAACUGAGACACGGUCCAGAUACCUACGGGA
rnacentral:rRNA from 1 species